UCUAGUAGAGACGACCUGAAUCCGGUGGUCAGAUUUGUUUGGGUUACGUUUGGACGUGAACUGAUGUGCAGCUGUGUGAGGUAGACAGAGUAAAAGAGAGUGGGACGGAGAAUGAAGGAACGGAAGAGGGAGAAAGGGAGGAGGAGACAUAUCCACGUAUAAGACGUGGCUCUCGUUUUAUCAAACCCAAGAUAUGAGUUUCGACAAGAGAAAUUAAAAUUGUAUAUUUUGAUUCAUUAAACUGCACUUGCGAGAGCGCUUC